rnacentral:rRNA from 1 species
AAGCAUAUCAAUAAGCGGAGGAAAAGAAACCAACUGGGAUUGCCUUAGUAACGGCGAGUGAAGCGGCAAUAGCUCAAAUUUGAAAGCUGGCUCCUUCGGAGUCCGCGUUGUAAUUUGUAGAGGAUGCUUCGGCAAGGGCUCCCGUCUAAGUCCCCUGGAACGGGGCGUCACAGAGGGUGAGAAUCCCGUAUGUGAUGGGUUGCCUAAGCCAUGUGAAGCUCCUUCGACGAGUCGAGUUGUUUGGGAAUGCAGCUCUAAAUGGGAGGUAAAUUUCUUCUAAAGCUAAAUACCGGCCAGAGACCGAUAGCGCACAAGUAGAGUGAUCGAAAGAUGAAAAGCACUUUGGAAAGAGAGUUAAAAAGUACGUGAAAUUGUUGAAAGGGAAGCGCUUGCAGCCAGACUUGUCCGCAGUUGCUCAGCCGGUCUCUUGACCGGCGUACUCUUCUGCGGCCAGGCCAGCAUCAGUUCGGGCGGUCGGAUAAAGGUCCUGGGAAUGUAGCUCCCCUCGGGGAGUGUUAUAGCCCAGGGCGCAAUGCGGCCAGCCUGGACUGAGGAUCUCGCUUCGGCUAGGAUGCUGGCGUAAUGGCUGUAAGCGGCCCGUCUUGAAACACGGACCAAGGAGUCUAACAUCUAUGCGAGUGUUUGGGUGUCAAACCCAUGCGCGUAAUGAAAGUGAACGGAGGUGGGAACCCUCACGGGUGCACCAUCGACCGAUCCUGAUGUCUUCGGAUGGAUUUGAGUAAGAGCAUAGCUGUUGGGACCCGAAAGAUGGUGAACUAUGCCUGAAUAGGGUGAAGCCAGAGGAAACUCU